AGUUGGUGGGGUAAUGGCCUACCAAGCCUAAGACGGUUAGCUGGUGUGAGAGCACGACCAGCCAGAGGGGGACUGAGACACGGCCCCCACUCCUACGGGAGGCAGCAGCAGGGAAUCUUCCGCAAUGGGCGAAAGCCUGACGGAGCGAUGCCGCGUGAGGGAUGAAGGUUUUUGGAUCGUAAACCUCUUUUCUUGGGGAAGAGCAAGGACGGUACCCAAGGAAUAAGUCACGGCUAACUACGUGCCAGCAGCCGCGGUAAUACGUAGGUGACGAACGUUGUCCGGAAUUAUUGGGCGUAAAGGGUCCGUAGGCCGUUUAGUCAGUCUCCUGUGAAAUCUCUAGGCUCAACCUAGAGAGGUCGGGAGAUACUGCUAAACUAGAGAUUGUCAGAGGCAAGUGGAAUUCCCGGUGUAGUGGUGAAAUGCGUAGAUAUCGGGAGGAACAUCAAUGGCGAAAGCAGCUUGCUGGGGCAUUUCUGACGCUGAGGGACGAAAGCGUGGGUAGCAAACCGGAUUAGAUACCCGGGUAGUCCACGCCCUAAACGAUGAAUGCUAGGUUUGCGGGGUAUCGACCCCUUGUGAGCCGAAGCUAACGCGAUAAGCAUUCCGCCUGGGGACUACGGCCGCAAGGCUAAAACUCAAAGGAAUUGACGGGGGCCCGCACAAGCAGCGGAGCGUGUGGUUUAAUUCGAUGGUAAGCGAAGAACCUUACCUAGGCUUGACAUGUAAGUUACCGAUCUGAAAAGUGAGGAACCCGCAAGGGAGCUUACACAGGUGUUGCAUGGCUGUUGUCAGCUCGUGCCGUGAGGUGUUGGGUUAAGUCCCGCAACGAGCGCAACCCCUAUUACUAGUUAUUUUCUCUAGUGAGACUGCCCCUAAAAGGGAGGAAGGUGGGGACGACUUCAA
rnacentral:rRNA from 1 species